rnacentral:rRNA from 1 species
UACGAAGGGGGCUAGCGUUGCUCGGAAUUACUGGGCGUAAAGCGCACGUAGGCGGCUUCUUAAGUCGGUGGUGAAAUCCUGGAGCUCAACUCCAGAACUGCCUUCGAUACUGGGAGCUCGAGUCCGGGGAGAGGUGAGUGGAACUGCGAGUGUAGAGGUGAAAAUUCGUAGAUAUUCGCAAGAACACCAGUGGCGAAAGGCGGCUCACUGGCCCGGUACUGACGCUGAGGGUGCGAA